CUGGAAUAACACGAGGAAACUUGUGCUAAUACCGGAUAAGUCUUUACGGAGAAAGCUUUAUGCACCAUUGGAUGAGCCCGCACUUGAUUAGUUUGUUGGUAGGGUAAUGGCCUACCAAGACUAUGAUCAAUAGCUGAUUUGAGAGGAUGAUCAGCCACAUUGGGACUGAGACACGGCCCAAACUCCUACGGGAGGCAGCAGUGGGGAAUCUUGCACAAUGGAGGAAACUCUGAUGCAGCGAUGCCGCGUGAGUGAAGAAGGCCUUUGGGUUGUAAAGCUCUUUCGUCGGGGAAG
rnacentral:rRNA from 1 species